rnacentral:rRNA from 1 species
CCUACGGGUGGCAGCAGUGAGGAAUAUUGGUCAAUGGGCGCGAGCCUGAACCAGCCAAGUAUCGUGAAGGAUGACUGCCCUACGGGUUGUAAACUUCUUUUAUAAAGGAAUAAAGUGAGGCACGUGUGCCUUUUUGUAUGUACUUUAUGAAUAAGGAUCGGCUAACUCCGUGCCAGCAGCCGCGGUAAUACGGAGGAUCCGAGCGUUAUCCGGAUUUAUUGGGUUUAAAGGGAGCGUAGAUGGGUUGUUAAGUCAGUUGUGAAAGUUUGCGGCUCAACCGUAAAAUUGCAAUUGAUACUGGCAGCUGUGAGGACAGUUGAGGUAGGCGGAAUUCGUGGUGUAGCGGUGAAAUGAUGAGAUACAACGAAGAACUCCGAUUGCGAAGGAAGCCUACUAAACUGCCACUGACAUUGAUGCUCGAAAGGGUGGGUAUCAAACAGGAUUAGAGACCCUAGUAGUC